UUGGUCGAGCUCUUUUUUCAAUUUCAGUCAAUGGAAAGUGGAAACCCUAAUUUCCAGAACUGGGUCGAUCUCUGUUUUUAACUAAACGAUCGAUUUUUUCAGGUAAUCGAUUGCUUCUCUCGCUUCGGUCGCGUCGCCUCGCCUCGCUUUUCACUGUUAAGCGAGCGCUUCUGGUGGUCGCAUCGCUUUAGGCAGUAAAAAUCGACAACUGGUCGCCUCGAGUCGCUUGGCGCUUUAAGCGACGAAGCGCUCGCUUUUC
rnacentral:lncRNA from 1 species